rnacentral:rRNA from 1 species
UAAUAGCGUAUAUUAAAGUUGUUGCAGUUAAAAAGCUCGUAGUCGGAUGUCGGGCUCGGGCAGGCUGUCGGCUUCGGUCGGACGGCAGGCUCGGGUCUUUCUGCCUGAGGAUCCAUCUCAUUCACUUGGGGUGGGGACGCAGGCCGUUUACUUUGAAAAAAUUAGAGUGUUCAAAGCAGGCCUACGCUUGAAUACAUUAGCAUGGAAUAAUGGAAUAGGACUUUGGUGCUAUUUUGUUGGUUUAUGGGACCGAAGUAAUGAUUAACAGGGACAGUUGGGGCCGUUUAUAUUUCGUUGUCAGAGGUGAAAUUCUUGGAUUUACGAAAGAUAAACUUCCGCGAAAGCAUUCGGCAAGGAUGUUUUCAUUGA